rfam:Salmo salar isolate Sally breed double haploid chromosome ssa27, whole genome shotgun sequence.
UGUAUGCAUGCAUGACUAAGUUGCUUUGGAUAAAAGCAUCUGCCAAAUGACAUUUA